rnacentral:rRNA from 1 species
GACGAACGCUGGCGGCGUGCCUAAUACAUGCAAGUCGAACGAGAGCGACCGGUGCUUGCACUGGUCAAUCUAGUGGCGAACGGGUGAGUAACACGUGGGUAACCUGCUCAUCAGAGGGGGAUAACAUCCGGAAACGGAUGCUAAAACCGCAUAGGUCUUCGAGCCGCAUGGCUUGAAGAGGAAAAGAGGCGCAAGCUUCUGCUGAUGGAUGGACCCGCGGUGCAUUAGCUAGUUGGUGAGGUAACGGCUCACCAAGGCCGUGAUGCAUAGCCGACCUGAGAGGGUGAUCGGCCACAUUGGGACUGAGACACGGCCCAAACUCCUACGGGAGGCAGCAGUAGGGAAUCUUCCGCAAUGGACGCAAGUCUGACGGAGCAACGCCGCGUGAGUGAAGAAGGUUUUCGGAUCGUAAAACUCUGUUGUUAGAGAAGAACAAGCGCUAGAGUAACUGUUAGCGCCUUGACGGUAUCUAACCAGAAAGCCACGGCUAACUACGUG